CGCCUCUUGAAAAAAUAUAAGAGGUCCAGCCUGCCCAGUGACUAAGUUCAACGGCCGCGGUACCCUAACCGUGCGAAGGUAGCAUAAUCACUUGUUCUUUAAAUGGGGACUUGUAUCAACGGCACCACGAAGGCUGCACUGUCUCCUUUCUCCAAUCAGUGAAACUGAUCUCCCCGUGAAGAAGCGGGGAUUAAACUAUAAGACGAGAAGACCCCAUGGAGCUUCAAACUCACCAUACAACUCUGUUCCCUACAUCCCCUGAUUCAAGAGAUAUGUAUGUUAGUUUUGGGUUGGGGGGACCUCGGAGUACAACUUAACCUCCUAAACAAAUAGGUUAACACCUUUAUCCACGAGAAACACCUCUAAGAAUUAUUAAACUAAUGUUUUUGAUCCGAUAAUCGAUCAAUGAACCAAGUUACCCUGGGGAUAACAGCGCAAUCUACUUCAAGAGUUCCUAUCGACAAGUAGGUUUACGACCUCGAUGUUGGAUCAGGGUAUCCUAGUGGUGCAACCGCUACUAAUGG
rnacentral:rRNA from 1 species